CUCCUUAACAGUUUUACUGGAUGGAAACACAGCAAGAAAACACACAGGCCAAUAUUGACUGAAUAACAACUGCAUUUCCACCCCCACCUCUAAAGGCAUAGUAUCAUGGCAGGUCACCUGUCAAGUCACCUGUCAGGCAGACUUUGCAGUGCCUCCGUGUGCGACUACCUUGAGCAGCAGUUUGAGGGACUUUGCAGGGAAAAUGCCGUGCAGUGAGGCGUAGGGGAUUGUCUACAGCAGGGCGACCCCCCCAGUGGAGGGGCGCCUAAGGGUGUGGUGCUCCUCCAACAGCUCUCUCAUGAGGUUCUCUCUGUAUUUUUGGUAGGUAAUUACUUUACCUAUGAGGGAGUGGGGAGGAUGAUGAAAGUUAGAGGAUGAUGAGGCAGUGGGUAGGUUUGUGAGAUAUUGUCACUGUAAUUGCAUAAUGGAUUUGUAUGUGAACUGUACAUCCAAUUACAAAGGGUGUGGUGCUCCUCCAAUAGCUCUCUCAUGAGGUUCUCUCUGUAUUGAGCUAGGGCUGGGCGAUAUGGACCAAAAGUCAUAUCCCGAUAUAUUUAGGCUGAAUAUCGAUAUAAGAUAUAUAUCCUGAUAUUUU
rnacentral:lncRNA from 1 species